CCUACGGGAGGCAGCAGUGGGGAAUCUUGCACAAUGGAGGAAACUCUGAUGCAGCGAUGCCGCGUGAGUGAAGAAGGCCUUUGGGUUGUAAAGCUCUUUCGUCGGGGAAGAAAAUGACUGUACCCGAAUAAGAAGGUCCGGCUAACUUCGUGCCAGCAGCCGCGGUAAUACGAAGGGACCUAGCGUAGUUCGGAAUUACUGGGCUUAAAGAGUUCGUAGGUGGUUGAAAAAGUUGGUGGUGAAAUCCCAGAGCUUAACUCUGGAACUGCCAUCAAAACUUUUCAGCUAGAGUAUGAUAGAGGAAAGCAGAAUUUCUAGUGUAGAGGUGAAAUUCGUAGAUAUUAGAAAGAAUACCAAUUGCGAAGGCAGCUUUCUGGAUCAUUACUGACACUGAGGAACGAAAGCAUGGGUAGCGAAGAGGAUUAGAUACCCUCGUAGUCCAUGCCGUAAACGAUGUGUGUUAGACGUUGGAAAUUUAUUUUCAGUGUCGCAGCGAAAGCGAUAAACACACCGCCUGGGGAGUACGACCGCAAGGUUAAAACUCAAAUGAAUUGACGG
rnacentral:rRNA from 1 species